CACGUAGUUAGCCGGAGCUUAUUCUACAGGUACUGUCUUGUUUCUUCCCUGUCUAAAGCAGUUUACAAUCCGAAAACCUUCUUCCCGCACGCGGCGUCACUGCGUCAGAGUUUCCUCCAUUGCGCAAUAUUCCCGACUGCUGCCUCUCGUAGGAGUCUGGGCCGUAUCUCAGUCCCAAUGUGGCCGUUCAACCUCUCAGUCCGGCUACUGAUCGUCGACUUGGUAGGCCGUUACCCCACAACUAUCUAAUCAGACGCAAGCCCAUCUAUCAGCGAAUUGCUUCUUUCCCUUUGUAACAUGUGUUACUAAGGCAUAUGCGGUAUUAGCAGUCAUUUCUAACUGUUGUUCCCCUCUGAUAGGCAGGUUGCUUACGUGUUACUCACCAGUCCGCCACUAACCGCUCCAAUAGUAAACUAAUGGUUAAGUCCGUUCGACUUGCAUGUCUUAUGUGCGCCGCCAGCGUUUAUCCUGAGCCAGGAUCAAACUCU
rnacentral:rRNA from 1 species